AAUCAAAUAAUGGAGCAUUUAAACAAUGCAUGGGAGUAUGAACAUGUUAAAUAAUCAAGCAAUAGAAAGCAUGAAUGAGAGAAACAAGUAUAAAAGAUAACAGAUGAAAAUAUACACACGAAGGGUCCACCGAAUAAUUUAAUCAGGAAAUGAGGUAAGGACCAAAUAAAAUCAAGGUAAGAGGCCUCUAAUACAUGGCAUAUGAGAUGAAC
rnacentral:lncRNA from 1 species